rnacentral:piRNA from 1 species
UACCUUAACCUGCAGUAUGUGUGACG